rnacentral:rRNA from 1 species
UACGUAGGGACCAAGCGUUGUCCGGAAUCAUUGGGCGUAAAGAGCGUGUAGGCGGUCUGUCGCGUCGGAUGUGAAAAUCCAGGGCUCAACCCUGGACCUGCAUUCGAUACGGGCAGACUAGAGUUCGGUAGGGGGAGACUGGAAUUCCUGGUGUAGCGGUGAAAUGCGCAGAUAUCAGGAGGAACACCGGUGGCGAAGGCGGGUCUCUGGGCCGAAACUGACGCUGAGGAGCGAAAGCGUGGGGAGCGAACAGG